GGGAACUUGGUCUAGUGGUAUGAUUCUCGCUUAGGGAUAUCUAUUUUGCUUGUUGAAAUGUUUCGUUAUAGCGUUCUUACUGCGUUCACUCUGAUACAUAUGAACCAUAGACGAGCUUACAAACCUGGUGUGAAGUAGCAUACAAGCAACGGGUUGCAGUGAUGAUGUAGUGCACUGUUUUGCCGAAAGUGCUACCUUAUAGCACUGUCCUAUGGCAGUAAUUCAUGGCAUUGUUCCAUGAAAUAAUCUAUAGCACUGCCCUAUGGCAGUAAUCCAUGGCAUUGCCCUAUGGCAGUAAUGCAUGGCAUUGGACGUGUCUGCGAUCCUAGUACGACAUUCAUCACCCAAUGAACAUCACAACAUAUCUUCGGAGCACGUUCAGAAUUGCAAGAGGUCACGGGUUCGAUUCCCGUAGUCCCCC
rnacentral:tRNA from 1 species